GAUGAACGCUGGCGGCGUGCCUAAUACAUGCAAGUCGAGCGAACAGACGAGGAGCUUGCUCCUCUGACGUUAGCGGCGGACGGGUGAGUAACACGUGGAUAACCUACCUAUAAGACUGGGAUAACUUCGGGAAACCGGAGCUAAUACCGGAUAAUAUAUUGAACCGCAUGGUUCAAUAGUGAAAGACGGUUUUGCUGUCACUUAUAGAUGGAUCCGCGCCGCAUUAGCUAGUUGGUAAGGUAACGGCUUACCAAGGCAACGAUGCGUAGCCGACCUGAGAGGGUGAUUGGCCACACUGGAACUGAGACACGGUCCAGACUCCUACGGGAGGCAGCAGUAGGGAAUCUUCCGCAAUGGGCGAAAGCUUGACGGAGCAACGCCGCGUGAGUGAUGAAGGUCUUCGGAUCGUAAAACUCUGUUAUCAGGGAAGAACAAAUGUGUAAGUAACUAUGCACGUCUUGACGGUACCUAAUCAGAAAGCCACGGCUAACUACGUG
rnacentral:rRNA from 1 species